GGGGAAUAUUGCACAAUGGGCGCAAGCCUGAUGCAGCCAUGCCGCGUGUAUGAAGAAGGCCUUCGGGUUGUAAAGUACUUUCAGUCGUGAGGAAGGUAGUGUAGUUAAUAGCUGCAUUAUUUGACGUUAGCGACAGAAGAAGCACCGGCUAACUCCGUGCCAGCAGCCGCGGUAAUACGGAGGGUGCGAGCGUUAAUCGGAAU
rnacentral:rRNA from 1 species